CGAAUGCUGACAUAAGUAACGAUAAAGCGGGUGAAAAGCCCGCUCGCCGGAAGACCAAGGGUUCCUGUCCAACGUUAAUCGGGGCAGGGUGAGUCGACCCCUAAGGCGAGGCCGAAAGGCGUAGUCGAUGGGAAACAGGUUAAUAUUCCUGUACUUGGUGUUACUGCGAAGGGGGGACGGAGAAGGCUAUGUUGGCCGGGCGACGGUUGUCCCGGUUUAAGCGUGUAGGCUGGUUUUCCAGGCAAAUCCGGAAAAUCAAGGCUGAGGCGUGAUGACGAGGCACUACGGUGCUGAAGCAACAAAUGCCCUGCUUCCAGGAAAAGCCUCUAAGCAUCAGGUAACAUCAAAUCGUACCCCAAACCGACACAGGUGGUCAGGUAGAGAAUACCAAGGCGCUUGAGAGAACUCGGGUGAAGGAACUAGGCAAAAUGGUGCCGUAACUUCGGGAGAAGGCACGCUGAUAUGUAGGUGAAGUCCCUCGC
rnacentral:rRNA from 1 species